AUUGAACGCUGGCGGCAGGCCUAACACAUGCAAGUCGAACGAGUGGCGGACGGGUGAGUAAUGCCUGGGAAACUGCCUGAUGGAGGGGGAUAACUACUAGAAACGGUAGCUAAUACCGCAUACCAUCAGAUGUGCCAAGAUGGGAUUAGCUAGUUGGUGGGGUAACGGCUCACCAAGGCGACGAUCCCUAGCUGGUCUGAGAGGAUGACCAGCCACACUGGAAAUGAGACACGGUCCGGACUCCAACGGGAGGCAGCAGUGGGGAAUAUUGCACAAUGGGCGCAAUCCUGAUGCAGCCAUGCCGCGUGUAUGCAGAAGGCCUUCGGGUUGUAAAGUACUUUCAGCGGGGAGGCGUUACCCGCAGAAGAAGCACCGACUAACUCCGUGCCAGCAGCCGCGGUAAUAC
rnacentral:rRNA from 1 species